AGGUCCGUAGCUCAAUUGGUAGAGUAGCGGUCUCCAAAACCGCCUGCUGGGGGUUCGAGUCCCUCCGGGCCUG
rnacentral:tRNA from 1 species